CUCCUCAAACUCUGUCUUCUUCUCUCGACCACGCCUCUCUCUUUCUCCCCCCGACCUAUCUCUCUCUUCUCCUUCCCUCUGCCACCACCGGAGACCCCAGCUCCGGCCACCAUCUCACUACACCGCCUCCAUCAAUCGACGCAGCACCAAAAGGCCAAAGCCCAAGCCUCACCUUCGACAUGCACCGCCUGCAGCCACCAUACGCGGCCACCACAGUUGCGACACCACUGCCCUUCCUCCUCCGUCGAUUUCCGACCAUCACCUCACCACAACGACACCACUGCCUGACUCAGUAAGCAACGAGGAGUAAAACCCAGAGAGUCCUCUUCACCGAUCGACGCCGCACGACGCCACACGAGCAUCGUCGGAGCUCGAGGCACUGCAUGCCUCCGUUCUUCAAUCUCCAGUCCAAAACGAGCCAAACCACCACCAUAAAUGGUAUCAGCACCUAUCCUUAACCCAAAUCCCGACCUCCGACUUCGGCCAGAACCACCGCAAACGCCGCCGCCGGCGCGUGGGCCCACCUAGCGUCAACGUGAGCCCCAGCUUAUUCUCUUCGUUUGGUAAGCUGGAUUCUAUCCGUUCUUCCUAGUGAGGCUUCUACUUUGAUCUGGAUUGAGAACCCUAACUCAAUUGCUUAAUUUGAAAUCUGUGAGGAUUAUGGAAUAUGUGUUAUGGAGAUUUGGGAGGAAAUGAGGUCUACAAAAUUGUAAGCUUUUGUAGAAGGAGUUGGUGGGUCAGUUUCUAUUUGAAUCGGAUAAGGGAAUCUGAAGGAUUAAUGGUGGUAGAAUGCAACUUCGAUGAUUCGGCUACUAAUUUGGAAAAGAAGAAUGAACUCGAGCAUGUGCACAUGGAAUUGGACGAAGUAUCCAAAGUCGGAAACGAAGCUAAGUUUGGGCGAGCACUCCAAUUCCAGGUAGGGUGAGCUGUCCCUUCCUUGUUAGAGGCUUUUCUAUAUGUGGAAUGCUCUAGUAUAAUGAUAUGUUUCCUGCAAGUACGUUUUUGGUUGUUCAUUAGUCGAUGCCUCAUGAUACCUGUGUUUUCAUCAUUGAUACUUGUUGAUUACUAAAACCGAGGCUAGACUUGUAUGUUGAGAUAUUGUACCCCAUUGUAUGUUUGUACUUGUGACCUGAAAGUGAAUGGGACCUAGACGAGUAGAUUCCUAGGGAUCCCACCAUGUCGAUAACCGUGAACCUCCGGAGAGGGCCGUGCUCCUAUGUUUGUCAAGGAAGAGUGAGUACAGACAGUGAACCAGUCAUAGGAGACUCAGGGCCAGGAAAUGGACACUUUCGCUAGUUGUAGUUACAAGGACUACAGAAUAGUUGGCCGGUUCUCGAAGAAUGACGAACCAAGUGGGUCACCGAUUUGUUUUAGUUUAGCUGGAAGUGUGCAGGUUUCGAGUAUGUGGUCGGGGAGCAUACAGAGGAGGCACAUGGCUCGGCUUGACGCAUUUCUCUUUGACUUUGUUAAAAGAGGGUUUUGGUCCCUUAUCAUAUUUUGAAGUAGCUUGUUUAUUUACUUUUUAUUUAUUUCCUACUCGUUUAUCAAAACUUCGAGAGGCCCGUAACCCUGGGGCGCGUCUCUCGCACUUGUAGUUACUUAGUGAUUUGUUGUUUUCCAAAUUGGGCUCCUAUUGCAAGCCCAAAACUCUUAGCCCACUUUAAAUUCCGCUUUUGAAAAUGUGUU